UACGAAGGGGGCUAGCGUUGUUCGGAAUUACUGGGCGUAAAGCGUGCGCAGGCGGUUUUGUAAGUCAGAUGUGAAAUCCCCGGGCUUAACCUGGGAACUGCGUUUGAAACUACAAAGCUAGAGUGUGGCAGAGGGGGGUGGAAUUCCACGUGUAGCAGUGAAAUGCGUAGAGAUGUGGAGGAACACCGAUGGCGAAGGCAGCCCCCUGGGUUAACACUGACGCUCAGGCACGAAAGCGUGGGGAGCAAACAGG
rnacentral:rRNA from 1 species